rnacentral:misc_RNA from 1 species
UUGAACAAUCAAACCAAUGUAGACUGUGUUGUAGCUGGCCUUCGGGCAUGUGCACGCCGGUUUACAAUUGUUCUCCAUCCACCUGUGCACUUUAUGUAGGCUCACAAUCGUUGUUCACCUGAAAAUGGUGGUUUUGAAAGCAUUAUUGUUUUCAAGCGAAUGUGGUCUAUGUUUUAUACACUCGUUGAAUGUCUUAGAAUGUCAUGUUAUAUUCAAAUACAAAUA